rnacentral:rRNA from 1 species
UACGAAGGGGGCUAGCGUUGUUCGGAUUUACUGGGCGUAAAGCGCACGUAGGCGGACUUUUAAGUCAGGGGUGAAAUCCCGGGGCUCAACCCCGGAACUGCCUUUGAUACUGUGAAUCUUGAGUCCGGUAGAGGUGGGUGGAAUUCCUAGUGUAGAGGUGAAAUGCGUAGAUAUGAGGAAGAACACCGGUGGCGAAGGCGGCCCACUGGAUCGGUACUGACGCUGAGGUGCGAAAGCGUGGGGAGCAAACAGG